UGCUGUUUUAGUGGGGAAAUAUUGACAAACAUGAGAGUUUUACUAUUUCCUCCCAACGAAUAUUGUAACAAAUUAGUCAGCUUGGAAUUUCGAUACGGAAUGUACGUUCCUUCCUUUCCACUUCCCAAAGCAUGUAUUACAUCUCCUAAACAACUUAAACUUUUGUUGAUUGCCUGCGUUUCCUUCAAACGUUCACCCACACUUUGGCUACUCGAAAGUCUUUCGGAUCCAGCCAGAUCAAUCAAAUUAAGCGUACUUCUGCAUGUUUCACCUGUCGUAGAAUUGCUUCCAUUCAAGUGUAGCAUAAAAACUGAAUGCGAUCUUGAGGAAUGUUCAUUAGCAUUGGUAGCCGCAACAGAACGGUUCUUCGAAGCUUGAUCUAACAACCAGGUUACCUGCUCAGGUGUGUCUAAC